CUUGAACUCAGGCUCGCACGAGCGUUAACUGUCCUGUGAACACACAUUUGGCUUUCCCACCAGUGACGGUGCAAGUCAAUAUUAUGUAGGCUACUUUAAUGCUGUUGUAGCAAUCUUUCUUUGCGGAAGCUUGACGUCAAUCUAUAUAUAAAUAUAUAAAAAAUAACCGACAACCGACACUCGUGACUUUUAUGCAUUCCACGUGUGUCGUUCAACUGGGAUACACACACAACUUUGAUCUCGUCUGGAGAAAAUGAAAACAUACAGAAUACACUUUGUCAUGUGGACUGUCCUGGGAUUAGCAGCAGUCUUCAUCUCUUCCUCGGCCCUCUCAGGUGUGAAAGGAAUUGUGAAACAGAAGGUCCUCCUGCAUUGCCCCUGCGUAAAUAGAAAUGUGAGAAAGACAAUUAUCUGGCAGCUAGAAGAGCAUACCAUCGUGCUCCGUCAUGAUGGAAGUAAUAACCACACAACCAUAGGGGAGAGAUAUGAAAACAGGGUCAGUCUCUUUCUAAAUGAAGAGAAGGACAACUGUUCGCUGCUCCUCUCAGGCAUCACUGUGGCAGACAACGGGACAUACAAAUGCUCCUUUACAGCCAACGCUUUUGUCUACGAAAAAGUAAUUCUACAUGUGGCUGCGAGCUACAGUGUCUGUAUGGACCUCGUCUCAGACCAGGCUUCGGUGAGUUCCGGAGGGGGAGAGGGGUCGGGGGUGUACCAGUGUAAAGCCUCUGGGGGCUAUCCAGAGGGCCAGAUUCACUGGAAGCUGGAAGGACAUCCUCUGGUGAACCCCUCCAGGAGGGAUGUGACCCACUUGGACAACUUUACAGGACUCUACAGCCUGACCAGCAACCUGACCAUCGAGCUGAGUAAGGAUGAAACACUGCAAUGUGUGGUGGAGAACACAGCCUUGGCCUCCAACCUCACCUCCAACUCCAGCUGCAAUCAAAAGUCUAGUGAGUACAGGAGACGAGUGAUACCAGUAGAUCUACUAACCAGUAGCACUAUAUCAUGGUAGUCAGGGUCUGGAUUUUCACCACUAGGGUGAAUACAUUGAAUAAUUUUGAUUUGGGUCUCGGCUUGUACAUAAAGUCCUAAAAGAUCUGCAUGGGAAUACAUGAGAAUGAAAAUCUAGGAGUGGGUGCUUGAGGGUGGGGGAAAGCUUGGGAAAGCCCAGGCAUAAAAACACAACAGGGAAAAACCUUAACUCUGCUAGAGUGAAACUACAGAGAAACAACAGUAUUAUCUCUAUUAGCAUUAUCAAUGAGUAGAGAACAGUGUUUCCUCUGACUGAACCCAAUGUUUGGAUAAAAAAUGAAGGAGCUGGAAUCCACAGUGAUGUGUUGACGAGUAAGUCAAUAAAGAAAGUUACACUGCUGUGGCAUGUUGGGAGGAAGUGUGUGUUUUUGUUGGAAAGCCUUUUCACCACAGGUCAAGUUACACCAAGAGGUCUGACUUUUCAAAUUCUUCCUCUGACAGAUUUUUGGCUUCACCUUCUCUUAUCUAAAACAUGUUUCUGGAGCGUGUCAUAGUUUAUAUUCCCUAUUCAUAUGUUUUCUGUUUCCUCUCUCCUUUCCAGUGUCCUGGGAAGGUAGCGGUCAUUAUAAAGUAGAGGUUGCAGCAGUUGUGGCUGUCAGCCUUAUUGUGAUUUUUAUUGUGGGAGUCCUGCUGGUGUUCUUACUAACUAGAUGUCGCCGACAUGAAAGGUCAACGAGAGACACAGAGAGGCAGGAAAGAGGCGUGACCCAUUCGUUUAAUGUGUAUGAAGAUGACUCUGCCUGAAUGUGUAAAGCGUCUCCCCCCUCUGAUGCAACAAUCUCUCUUCAACUGGCAGACAACAAAAUGGAGGGAUGAUGAUAAGAGGAACUGAAACUUAAAAUAAGGCCUGUGUUCAAUGUAGAACUUGGAGCAACAUUGAGCAAUGUGUUGUGCCGUCAUGUCUGAACUAUUCUUUGUUGUGUUACGCAAAGAGGCAAACGGCGCCUGAAAGUGGUUAAUCAUGGUUUUCCCUAGUUCGCUGACACUGAACUGAACCCUGAGUUAUGAAUAUGAUGACGAGAGCAGAGUACAAAAUGUGGCCAUGGAGACAAGGUUUAAGAACUAAAAGAGAAGAGAAGAACAGCAUGAUGGGAGAAAUGACUGUGAUCAAUGAACCGAAAGUGAGCUAGACUCAGUGAAUGAAGCCCCCCCCCCCAAAAAAAGGGAGCCUGUGUAUUGCAAUUGUAGAGUUUACUCACUUCUUAAAGUACAGGUGCUUUCAUAUUUCUAAGAAGAGUAACAUAAUCAAACCAGACUACUGUAGUUAUAUAGCUGAUACAUGACUGAAUAGCCAUCGUUGUCUUUAUGCAUUUUGUAUACUGCAUGUUCCUGGUGUUGGUCUAAUGUAGAUCUGUCUGCUCUAAACAAGAUUUCCCUCUGUAAAUGCCAAACUGGAAUGGGGGAGCCCCUACUGUGCUAUUAAAACCCCUUAUAAUGUCACUGGUCACAUUAUAAGGAAGCUGCAGUAGGAAGUGACUACUUUGCUGAACCAUUUGAAUCAUGCUGAGGAUUCAAACGAUUUGGUUUUAUGUUAGACCAAAUGAUUAGUUUUAAUGUAAAUAGUCAAUGACGUUAUUUUACUUAGAAUUCUGAAUUUAAUUCUCUGAAUGUGUGAAGAAUUGGACAUGUUAAUUGCUUAUUGUUAUGUAGCUUGCUGUGAACUAAGAGACCAUGACAUGUGAUGACUAAUGUCAAGGAUUAUUCAAUUUACAAAUGUCAAGCAAAUUAUCUGUUUACUCCAGUUUAAAGGUCUUCACAGGUCCACCUGAAUAUUCCAGACUUGACUUGGGACCGGGUCUGAAAUGAAAUCUUUUCGUUCUGGUCUGGGUCGUGUCCUGUUUGAUUGUCAUCAGGUGUCAAGUCUAUGUACUGUAAGCACAGAUCAAGGCUUUGCAUAGCCUAUAGAGGGCUUGACGUACGAUGCCUCCUGACGGUCAUGUUUGAAGACCACGGCAUUCAUUAUUCUGUUCUGACAACAACAGCCAAGUGACUACACCAAACUGCAUGAUAACAGUGGCCAGUGCCGACCCGUCAUUCAGGGCAGGUGGAGCUUUUGAGACCCACAUUUUUAGAAAAAAAUUUUUUGGCAGGGCUUGCCUGUUUUGCAUGUUAUUUUGGCAUUAAUACGUGUCACAUAUCAGUUUGCAAACAAUGUAAAAAAACACACACAAAAAAAAACACUCGUUCAAACGUUUGGGGUCACUUAUAAAUAUCCUUGUUUUUAAAGACAUACAGUAUAGACAUGGUUAAUGUUGUAAAUGACUAUUGUAGCUGGAAAAGGCAGAUUUUUAAUGCAAUAUCUACAUAGGUGUACAGAGGCCCAUUAUCAGCAACCAUCACUCCUGUGUUCCAAUAUAGAUCAAACGUAUCGGUGCUCGUCGGCCAUUGGACAUAAACAUUACACAACAAGUUGGAAAUUGCAAAUUCAACAAUGAGUGGUUUGUAAGGAAGUGAGCACAACUAGGUGAUACUUUAUACUGAUACAUAAAUGAUGUAAUAUGCCAGGGAGUUAUGUAUACUGUAGCUAAGAAAGUAAUACUACGUGUGUGGUGUGUAGUAAGCUGUUAGUACCCCAUGUGCCUCACGUUAAUAAUUUGGUCCCUUUUCCCCUCUUUCGCCUACUGUUCUGACUUGGUGGUGCACAUGCACAUGUAGUCUAUAGCCUGUUUUAGAGAAAUGUAAUCAUAGAAUAUUAUAAGAGCUUUCAUUGUCUGCUUAUUUGGCCCCGUUAUUUAUUCUACGGUUCUGACUUGAUGUACAAAGAGAAUACUGUAAAAAUGCCCAUGAUCUGUCGCUGUAUACUGCAUGUUCCUGGUGUUGGUCUAAUGUAGAUCUGUCUGGUCUAAACAAGAUUUCCCUCUGUAAAUGCCAAACUGGUAUGGGGGAGCCCCUACUGUGCUUUUAAAACCCCUUAUAAUGUCACUGGUCACAUUCAAAGGAAGCUGCAGUAGGAAGUGACUACUUUGCUGAACCAUUUGAAACAUGCUGAGGAUUCAAACUAUUAGUUUUGAUUCGUUUUCAUGUAAACGAUUCCUCCUGGUGGUCAUGUUGGAAGACCACGGCAUAAAUUAUUCAGUUCUGACAACAACAGCCAAGUGACUACACCAAACUGCAUGAUAACAGUGGCCAGUGCCGACCCGUCAUUCAGGGCAGGUGGGGCUUUUGAGACCCACAUUUUUAGAAAAAACAUUUUUGGGGGGGCUUGCAUUAAUACAGGUCACAUAUCAUUUUACAAACAAUGUAAAAAAGAUAUGUAUCAUUGAGUUAAUAAAGCCGCAUACAAACAUGGUCUCUUUUUGUGUUUUCUUGAGUAAGGCAGCUCCCAAAUGCAGGUGUUUCUGCCCAGCUCAGUGCUUUCUGUGGUGGGGAGGCAAGCCAGCAGGUUGAGGUUGGGGGAUUAUGGAUGCCAGGUCAUCUGAUGCAGCACUCCAUCACUCUCCUUGGUCAAAUAGCCCUUACACAGCCUGGAGGUGUGUUGGGUCAUUGUCCUGUUGAAAAACUAAUGAUAGUCCCACUAAGCCCAAACCAGAUGGGAUGGUCGAACUUCCGGCGCCGACAGAGAUGGCCGCCUCGCUUCGCGUUCCUAGGAAACUAUGCAGUUUUUUGUUUUUUUUACGUGUUAUUUCUUACAUUAGUACCCCAGGUCAUCUUAGGUUUCAUUACAUACAGUCGAGAAGAACUACUGAACAUAAGAGCAGCGUCAACUCACCAUCAGUACGACCAAGAAUAUGACUUUCGCGAAGCGGAUCCUGUGUUCUGCCUUUCACCCAGGACCACGGAAUGGAUCCCAGCCGGCGACCCAAAAAAACAACUUCGUAAAAGGGGGAAACGGAGCGGUCUUCUGGUCAGACUCCGGAGACGGGCACAUCGUGCACCA
ensembl:lncRNA